rnacentral:rRNA from 1 species
GCAGCAGGCGCGAAACCUUUACACUGCACGCCAGUGCGAUAGGGGGACACCGAGUGCGAGGGCAUAGAGCCCUCGCUUUUCUGUACCGUAAGGUGGUACAGGAACAAGGGCUGGGCAAGACCGGUGCCAGCCGCCGCGGUAACACCGGCAGCCCAAGUGAUGGCCGAUAUUAUUGGGCCUAAAGCGUCCGUAGCUGGCCGAGCAAGUUCGUCGGGAAAUCCACUCGCUUAACGAGUGGGCGUCCGGCGAAAACUGUUCGGCUUGGGACCGGAAGACCUGAAGGGUACGUCUGGGGUAGGAGUGAAAUCCCGUAAUCUUGGACGGACCACCGAUGGCGAAAGCACUUCAGGAGGACGGAUCCGACAGUGAGGGACGAAAGCUAGGGUCUCGAACCGGAUUAGAUACCCGGGUAGUCCUAGCCGUAAACGAUGCUCGCUAGGUGUGGCACAGGCUACGAGCCUGUGCUGUGCCGUAGGGAAGCCGUGAAGCGAGCCGCCUGGGAAGUACGUCUGCAAGGAUGAAACUUAAAGGAAUUGGCGGGGGAGCACUACAACC